CGGGAUGUGUUUGGAGAACCGUCUUCCAUUCAUAAGUUUAUUUCUCUCCAUCGAUCCUCCUCCUCCUCUCUCCCUCUCUCUCUCCUACUCUGUCCUCUCUACCUCAUAUCACAUCCAAGCAUCCAGCCCACCGUCAACCUUUUCUCUUGCUCCUCCAUGGCCGCACCCCGACCCGGCGUUGGCCAGAUCCGUUUCCUCCUCUCCUCCCUGGCCGUUGUUGAAGCUGCUAGUGGAGGAGACGCCGUGACCCUCUCUGGCCAGCCGAUGGAGGAGACGACGCAGCCGCCAUUCCAUUUCCUCUUCUCCGACGCCAUGCCGACAAGGGGUGGACGGUGGAAGUAGGAACAUGGAGUUGAAAGGGAGGACGCCAUGGAUAUUGGAUCUAUGGCUGUCUUGGUGCGACCAGAAUCUCGAUGGGAGGAGGACCAGUGGAGGAAGCGGUGGUGCUUGGGGUCUCAUCUUGCACCAAGGCUGCCCGGAGUAUAGUGGCAGAUCUGUAUGAGAAUUUUUCGCUGGACACAGGACGAAAGGCAGCAGCGGCCAAAUGAGUACAAGUUGCGUAGCCGCUACAGGAGGAGCAUCCCAGCUCCCAUGGCCUGUUGAAUUAAUUUUGACUGAGAUUAACUCUCUCGAUCAUACCCAGCACUAAAAUAUUAGCUGAUGUAUUCUCUGAAUUGUUCAA